rnacentral:misc_RNA from 1 species
GAUGAAGAACGUAGCGAAAUGCGAUAAGUAAUGUGAAUUGCAGAAUUCAGUGAAUCAUCGAAUCUUUGAACGCGCAUUGCGCCCCUUGGUAUUCCGAGGGGCAUGCCUGUUCGAGCGUCAUUAUAACCCCUCAAGCUCAGCUUGGUAUUGGGGCCUGCCAUCCUGGCAGCCCUUAAAAUCAGUGGCGGUGCCAUCCGGCUCUAAGCGUAGUAACUCCUCUCGCUAUGGAGUCCUGGUGGAUGCUUGCCAUUAAUCUUUUAACUUCUAUGGUUGACCUCGGAUCAGGUAGGGAUACCCGCUGAACUUAAGCAUAUCAAUAAGCGGAGGA